rfam:Glycine soja cultivar W05 scaffold10206_2, whole genome shotgun sequence.
AUCUAGUGAUGAAGGCAGCUGGCGCAUAAUUUUUUGAAUCUUUCCCAGUAUUCAUAUAGGCUUUCUCCACUGAGUUGAUGGAUGCCUGAAAUAUCCUUUCCGAUGGC